rnacentral:lncRNA from 1 species
AACAAGAAGAAGAAGAAGAACAAGAAGAAGAAGAACAACAACAACAAUAACAACAACAAGAAGAAGAACAACAAGAACAACAAGAUUAAUAACAAGAACAAUAAGAAAAACAACAACAACUAACAUUACUAACUUGAAUCCAUGUUUUCCCUGUCUUAUUCAAGUUGGAGAAAAGGUGGUGGAGUUUUGAAAUUUGUUAAUGAAAGAAAUGAUGUUUUCAAAAAAAAAUUAUGGAAGCAAUGAUGUUUUCGAGCUUGGUUUAGUGGAGAAAUAGAGUGUCAUAAAUGGAAGAGGAUGUUUGGAGGUAGAAGAUGAAGUUUAUCUAAGUUUUAGGUUUCAG